rnacentral:lncRNA from 1 species
GCUCUUGACUCUCCCAAAGGCUUGUGGCAGAGCUGCACUGUGAUGUAGCAGGUGGGUGAGGGGCAGUGUGGGUGUGCUGAGUGCUGCCAGGUGGGAAAGGACCUACUGUGCCUAUUCCCUCACACAGGAACUUCACUGACCAUCUUUGUCCCACCUCACAGAGAGGUCCUGGGGUGAGGAGGCUGCUGAGAAUCUGGGGUGCCUUCCUGAAGCCUGAAUAUCCCUGAAGGACAGGAGGAAGGAGGCAAAAAGGAGACACCGCGCUUGC